rnacentral:rRNA from 1 species
UGAGGAAUAUUGGUCAAUGGACGGAAGUCUGAACCAGCCAAGUAGCGUGCAGGAUGACGGCCCUAUGGGUUGUAAACUGCUUUUGUAUGGGGAUAAAGUUAGGGACGUGUCCCUAUUUGCAGGUACCAUAUGAAUAAGGACCGGCUAAUUCCGUGCCAGCAGCCGCGGUAAUACGGAAGGUUCAGGCGUUAUCCGGAUUUAUUGGGUUUAAAGGGAGCGUAGGCUGGAGAUUAAGUGUGUUGUGAAAUGUAGACGCUCAACGUCUGACUUGCAGCGCAUACUGGUUUCCUUGAGUACGCACAACGUUGGCGGAAUUCGUCGUGUAGCGGUGAAAUGCUUAGAUAUGACGAAGAACUCCGAUUGCGAAGGCAGCUGACGGGAGCGCAACUGACGCUUAAGCUCGAAGGUGCGGGUAUCAAACAGGAUUAGAUACCCUGGUAGUCCGCACAGUAAACGAUGGAUGCCCGCUGUUGGUACCUGGUAUCAGCGGCUAAGCGAAAGCAUUAAGCAUCCCACCUGGGGAGUACGCCGGCAACGGU